GAUGAAGAACGUAGCGAAAUGCGAUAAGUAAUGUGAAUUGCAGAAUUCAGUGAAUCAUCGAAUCUUUGAACGCACAUUGCGCCCGCCAGUAUUCUGGCGGGCAUGCCUGUUCGAGCGUCAUUUCAACCCUCAAGCCCUGCUUGGUGUUGGGGAUCGGCGUUGCCUCCUCCGUCGUUCGCGGCGGGGUGAGGUCGCCGCCCCCGAAAUGAAUUGGCGGUCUCGUCGCAGCUUUCCUUUGCGUAGUAACAUACCACCUCGCAACCAGGAGCGCGGCGCGGCCACUGCCGUAAAACGCCCAACUUUUUCAAGAGUUGACCUCGAAUCAGGUAGGAAUACCCGCCGAACUUAAGCAUAUCAAUAAGCGGAGGA
rnacentral:misc_RNA from 1 species